rnacentral:rRNA from 1 species
GACGAACGCUGGCGGCGUGCUUAACACAUGCAAGUCGAACGGAAAGGCCCUGCUUUUGUGGGGUGCUCGAGUGGCGAACGGGUGAGUAACACGUGAGUAACCUGCCCUUGACUUUGGGAUAACUUCAGGAAACUGGGGCUAAUACCGGAUAGGAGCUCCUGCUGCAUGGUGGGGGUUGGAAAGUUUCGGCGGUUGGGGAUGGACUCGCGGCUUAUCAGCUUGUUGGUGGGGUAGUGGCUUACCAAGGCUUUGACGGGUAGCCGGCCUGCGAGGGUGACCGGCCACAUUGGGACUGAGAUACGGCCCAGACUCCUACGGGAGGCAGCAGUGGGGAAUAUUGCACAAUGGGCGGACGCCUGAUGCAGCAACGCCGCGUGCGGGAUGACGGCCUUCGGGUUGUAAACCGCUUUCGCCUGUGACGAAGCGUGAGUGACGGUACUGGGUAAAGAAGCACCGGCUACCUACGU